AAGCUGGGGGUGCUACACAUGCAAGUUGUGCGCGAAAGGGUAGCAAUAUCCAAGUAAAGCGGCGAACGGGUGAGUAACACGUGGUUAACCUGCCGGGAUGUGGGGGAUACCCCGGGGAAACUCGGGACAAUACCGCAUGAUGUCUCCUGGGCGAUGGCUCGGGAGAGCAAAGCUGGGGACCGUAAGGCCUAGCGCAUUCCGAUGGGACCGGGCGAUUAGCUAGUUGGCGGGGUAACGGCCCACCAAGGCGACGAUCGGUAGCCGGCCUGAGAGGGUGAUCGGCCACACCGGAACUGAGACACGGUCCGGACUCCUACGGGAGGCAGCAGUGGGGAGUUUUGCGCAAUGGGCGAAAGCCUGACGCAGCAACGCCGCGUGGAGGAUGAAGGUCUUCGGAUCGUAAACUCCUGUUGCCCGGGACGAAUGGCUCCGACCUAACACGUCGGAGUGUGACGGUACCGGGUGAGGAAGCCCCGGCUAACUCUGUGCCAGCAGCCGCGGUAAUACAGAGGGGGCAAGCGUUGUUCGGAAUUACUGGGCGUAAAGGGCGCGUAGGCGGCCCUCUAAGUCGGACGUGAAAUCCCCGGGCUCGACCCGGGAACUGCGUCCGAUACUGGGGGGCUCGAAUCCGGGCAGAGGGAUGCGGAAUUCCAGGUGUAGCGGUUGAAAUGCGUAGAUAUCUUGGGAGGAACACCGGUGGCGAAGGCGGCAUCCUGGACCGGCAUUGACGCUGAGGCGCGAAGCCAGGGGAGCAACGGGGAUUAAGAUACCCCGGUAGUCCUGGCCCUAACGAUGAAUGCUUGGUGUGGGGGUAUCGGAUCCCUGGCCGUGCGAAGUAACGCAUAGCAUUCGCUGGGA
rnacentral:rRNA from 1 species